rnacentral:misc_RNA from 1 species
AAACUGAGAUAAGUAGCGUGAAUUGCAGACGCUUAAACUUUCGAACGAACAUUGCGCCGUAGGAGUCCUACCUUGCGGCACAUCUGGUUGAGGGUCAUGAUCAAAAACAAAAAACGGACUAUGACUGUAAUAGAAAUAGCUAGUGAAUCACGAGUUCCGUCUACCGCCUCUGGCUGAAAGUGUUUUGCCAUAAUGCUAGCAGAGGACAAUCGCUCGCACGAGAGAUUGCCUACCACACGGAUGAUCUAUUAGCUGAAGCAAUAGGUCUCGGUCACCGGGUAUCAUGCUUAUAUACUCUGAGAUACAGCUAGUGGGCUUCAUAAGUGCCUGGUAUCGAGAGUAUUCGCUCUCCCGACCUCAACUCAGGUGUGAUUACCAUCUGAACUUAA